rnacentral:rRNA from 1 species
AUGCAUUCCUCGACUCGUCCUCCGGCAAGCAACUACAAGAACAAGAAUUCUUCUUCAUCGGCACCACCGGAUGAUCCCGUCAAGACAAGUUCUAUCAAGUGCUUCACAUGUGGUGGCCGUGGACACAAGUCUUUCCAGUGCAUCAACAAGCGAACCAUGAUCGGCAAUGAUUAUGGCACGUACGACUCCAUGAGCGAAGAUGAGAUGGAAGCUAUCGAGCACGUCGCCAUGCACCGUCAAGUGAACGAAGAAGAAGAUGCUCAAGUCUAUUAUGACAACGAUUCAAGUCCCGCUCUUGUGGUGUCCAAGGUCUUGACGCUUCAACACCAACAAGACAAAGACCAACGGUGCCACAUCUUCCAGACCAAGGCCGGCAUCAAUGGGCGCUCCGUAAAAGUCAUCUUCGACGGAGGGAGUUGCCAUAACUUGGCAAGUGAAGAGCUAUGUUACAAGCUACAAUUGGUCAAGAAGAAGCAUCCUCGCCCCUACAAGGUUCAAUGGCUAAGCGACUCCGGAAUAAUUCAAGUGGAGCACACCGUGCACGUUUCUUUCAAGAUUGGCGCCUACGAGGACACCAUUGAGUGUGACGUGGUUCCUAUGUCCGUGUGCCAUCCUGUCUUGGGAACACCUUGGCAAUUCGACCGCGGUGUCAUCCACAACGGGAGAACAAACCACUAUAACUUCAAGAUGAAGGGAACGGAGUACGUGCUAUGA